rnacentral:rRNA from 1 species
CAAUAGCGUAUAUUAAAGUUGUUGCAGUUAAAAAGCUCGUAGUUGGAUUUGUGGCGUACGGUGUGUUCCGGGCACUUGUUGUCUGAGUAACCUGCUGUUGCCAUCCUUGGGUGGAACCUGUGUGGCAUUAGGUUGUCGUGCAGGGGAUGCCCAUCAUUUACUGUGAAAAAAUUAGAGUGUUCAAAGCAGGCUUAUGCCGUUGAAUAUAUUAGCAUGGAAUAAUGAGAUGGGACUUUUUUGCUAUUUUGUUGGUUUGCGCAAGAAGGUAAUGAUUAAUAGGGACAGUUGGGGGUAUUCGUAUUCCAUUGUCAGAGGUGAAAUUCUUGGAUUUUUGGAAGACGAACUACUGCGAAAGCAUUUACCAAGGAUGUUUUCAUUAA